ACUGUCCUCAUUGUCCUAGGCCAAGGGAAACAAAAAAUGUCACAAAGAAUGGUGACCUCUGCACACUACCAUUGUAUUUUCCACAUCUGUCCAGGGAAGAUUUUCAGUACAACUAUACCUGCUUUUCUGAAGAUCAUGAAAGUGAACAGUUCCCAUGCAAGAUAGUGUCUGGUAUCACUGCAGGCACAAGCUCGACCUAGUGCCCCGGACACAACGGACACUACUGAUGAAUCGCUGACAGCGUUGGGUAACCAUGAGGACUCAAUAAUAGAUCACGAGAAAUUCACAGGCGUCAAGGUGUUGGCAACAGUGACAGUUAUUGUGGCUGCGGUGUUGGCAGCCGUGGCUGUCUCCUUAUGCAUGAGCCGCAGUCGAUAUAGCAAAGGAAAACCUGCUGUUAUCUGUACAGGGUAUGUUUUUUUUCUUCAAUGUGGUAUGUUUGCUAAGGCAUUUUAACACACUUUUCAUUGGCAAUUAGUAUGCGGACUCCAUAUGUGGAAUUUGUUUAUUGGUCUUUUAUCAGCACAACAUCAAGAGAAGGAUCAGGUAAAUAUUUGUUCAAUUUGACAAAAUUGCUAUCACAACCAGUUCACUCAAUGUUGUGAAUUGUAAUUCUAAUAGGUUACUUCAUAUCUUAUAGAUGCAUGCUCAACCAAUUGUGAGAGGGUGGCACUGCGAAUAACUC